rnacentral:rRNA from 1 species
CAAUAACGUAUAUUAAAGUUGUUGCGGUUAAAAAGCUCGUAGUUGGAUUUCUGUCGAGAUUGAUCGGUCCUCCCUCUGGGAGCGUAUCUGAUUCGGUUUUGGCAUCCUCCUAUUGCACGUUCUGUCCUUCAUUGGAUGGGGCGGGUGUAGGACUUUUACUUUGAGGAAAUUCGAGUGUUUACGGCAGGCUAUCGCCCUGAAGAUAUUAGCAUGGAAUAAUAAUAUAGGACCUUGGCCCUAUUUUGUUGGUUUCUAGAGCUGAGGUAAUGAUUAAUAGGGAUAUUUGGGGGCAUUCGUACUAACCGGUCAGAGGUGGAAUUCUUGGAUUCGGUUAUGACGAACGACUGCGAAAGCAUUUGUCAAGAAUGUUUUCAUUGA